rnacentral:rRNA from 1 species
UACGUAGGCAGCAAGCGUUGUUCGGAAUUACUGGGCGUAAAGAGUGUGUAGGCGGUGCUCUAAGUUCGUUGUGAAAUCUCCCGGCUUAACUGGGAGGGUGCGGCGGAAACUGGAGUGCUUGAGCGCGGGAGAGGAAAGCGGAAUUCCUGGUGUAGCGGUGAAAUGCGUAGAUAUCAGGAGGAACACCUGUGGUGUAGACGGCUUUCUGGACCGUAGCUGACGCUGAGACACGAAAGCGUGGGUAGCAAACAGG